AACCGUCACGCCUUGGGCACAGGCAGCCACAGCCUUCACCUUUCUCACUUGAUUAGAGUCGGCUCUGUCAGGAGAAAGUGAUUCUAGAAUUCCUUAAGCUAAAGCAAUUUCUUAAUCCUUGAGCGCCAAGGGCUGGGCCGUAGUCUACGAGCUGGGAACACAGUGGCGACCACGACAGACAAGAUCGCUGCCCUCAUGGAGUUCCCAGGCUGGCAGAGGAAACAAAAUAUAAUAAAUAAGUAACUGCAGUUUGCAAGAAGAGCUAUGAAGAAAAAACAGGGUGAUGGGAGAGAGAAUGCUUGGAUGGUCAAAGGAGACUUUUCUGUGGUGGUGGCGUCUUGAGCUGACUAAAGAAGGAUGAGAAAGAAUGGAGCUUGCAACGUUCUGGCUUCAAAGAAUUCCAAGCAGAGGGAACAAGAGUGAAGUCUCCAGGAGAAGCCAGAUUAGUGUUUGGAGACUAGAAAGAAGGGGUGUGUGGCUGGAAGAUGCUGGAGGUGAAGGAUGGAACCUCAAAAGAUGAGCGAAGAUUAAAAAAAAACAAGAUGAUUAGGUUGAACUUCUGAAAGCCGUGCUGCAGCCUGAGCUUGGGUGUUUGUGGGCUUUGCAGCCAGAUAUGAACAGAAGAUAGAUUCAUUUCCUGCUGCCUGCUUCUCCAACCCCAAAUCUCCCAGUGUGAUCCAAGAGCCCUGGAGAUUUGCCUUCACCACCCCACCCCCUGCCGUAGAUGUUUCUUUAUAAGCCUUGCUUGUGAAUAGGUGUCAGCAAGGGUCUCAGCAGGCAGGAUGUGAGCAUGUGGGCGCUCGAGAUCCCCCUACCGGCCAUCACCAUCCUCCUGCUGCUGCCAGUAUGUCCCUUGAGGAUGCCUAGCAGGUCACACCCCACCCUGGGGGCAAACAGUGACUGACAACAGAACCAGCGCUCACCCCUUGCCCCACAGCAAGACAGUUCAGUGGGAGGAAUUUGCUCUAGAGCACCCUGAAUCAGGCCGAGGCUUUCCCCUUCCGUAUUUGGCUUCCUUUGCUCCUCUAGUAAGUCACACAUGUGGUACCCUAAGGAGCUAAAAGAAAAUUGGAAAUGAGCUUAGCUGGCAAGAAGAGACACAGGGUAGAGGGGAGCGGAUGUUCUGAAAAAUAGCGUCAACCACAAAGGGCUCACUAGCACCCAAGCUUCCUGUCACAAGCAUUCAGCUCCCUGCCCACCUGCACCCAAGCUUCCUGUCUGCAAGCCUUCAGCCCAGGCAGCACGACCUUAUAAAGUCCCCUGUAGCCCUGCUGUUUUGCAGACAGCAUUCCUCUGCUAUGUUGCCCAUUGCUCUCUUGCAACGCAUCUCCCACUUUCUCUAAUAAAUCUACCUUUCUUUCCCA